GACGAACGCUGGCGGCGUGCUUAACACGUGCAAGUCGAACGAUGAAGCCGGAGCUUGCCCUGGUGAAUUAGUGGCGAACGGGUGAGCAACACGUGAGUAACCUGCCCUUGACUCUGGGAUAACUGCUAGAAAUGGUAGCUAAUACCGGAUACGACCCUCGGAGGCAUCUCCAGGGGGUGGAAAGAAUUUCGGUCAAGGAUGGACUCGCGGCCUAUCAGCUAGUUGGUGAGGUAGCGGCUCACCAAGGCGACGACGGGUAGCCGGCCUGAGAGGGUGACCGGCCACACUGGGACUGAGACACGGCCCAGACUCCUACGGGAGGCAGCAGUGGGGAAUAUUGCACAAUGGGCGCAAGCCUGAUGCAGCAACGCCGCGUGAGGGAUGACGGCCUUCGGGUUGUAAACCUCUUUUAGUAGGGAAGAAGCGAAAGUGACGGUACCUGCAGAAAAAGCACCGGCUAACUACGUGCCAGCCGCCGCGGUAA
rnacentral:rRNA from 1 species